rnacentral:lncRNA from 1 species
GCUGCAGGGAGACCUCAUUGCAGCCUGCCAGUACUUGGAGGGAGCUUACAGGCAGGACAGAAGUGACUAUGUACAAGGGGGAAUGUCUUUAAAGUGAAAGAGAGGAGAUGUGGGUAAGAUGUGAGGAAGCAAUCCUUUCCUCAGAGGGCGGUGAGGCGCUGGCACUGCUGCCCAGAGAGCUGUGGGUGCCCCAUCCCUGCAGGCACUCAAGGCCAGGUGGGAUGGGGCCCUGGGCAGCCUGAGCUGCUGGUUGACACCUUGAUGAUCUUUAAGGUCCUCUCCAACAUGAGCCAUUCUAUGAUUCUGUUUAUCGCUCUCUACAACUCCCUGAAAGGAGGUUGUGCUGAGGUGGGGGUUGCAUCCCCUGUG